CAUAUCUUGCCCAAUCAGAAAAAAUCCAUUUCUGUCUUUUCAAAAUCAUCUAUUCAUUUCUUCAAAGAGACGUUUCCAGAUUUUAAUGAAGCCUUGUCUGCCACUCCUUUGAAUUAUCACUAUACAGCUUCUUUAACCGUUCACUUCUUCUCAACACAUGUCCUCUGCCUUUCUUUCGAUUUCUUCCAGAUUAGCAGCAUACUCCGGGACUCUUCCAAUCAGGUAAAGUUCUUCUUUUUCCUUUAAUGUCACCGUCGCUAGUUUGUGUGCCAGGUUGUUCGCUUCUCUGGGAAUAUACUCAAGAUAGUAUUUUCCAAAAUUUUUUAACAGCUGAUGUAUAUCUUGGAUAUAUGCUCCGAUUCUGGAUUUAUCAUGGCUUUUCAGUUUGCACUUCUUUAUAAUAGAUAACGCAUCCCCUUCGAUAAUAAUGUUUGACCAUUGCAUGUCCCUACUUAUUUGAGUUGCUGUACGACACGCUAUUGCUUCUGCGGCAAAGGCUGAUGCCACAUGAUGAUGAAUCUCUGUGCAUGAUAAAAGUGUGUUUCCAUCACUAUCCCUGGCCACGAUUCUCGCUGCUGAUUGCCGUGAGUUCCCAUCAAAUGCUGCAUCGAAGUUAACCUUCACAAACUGGACCGAUCUAUUAGUCUUUUCAUGCACUCUCCUAUUCCUUUCUCCCCAUAUUGCCCAAAGAGCACAACAAAAGAUCCGUCACCGAUUGGUGGAAUUCUGUUCAAAAACCCAGGUAAGCCAUUGUACAAAAUCCACAUGAGGAACUUGUAAUAACUCUGGGAAUAAUAGCUCUUCCCAUACUGUUCUUGCCACAAGACAUUCACGGAAUAUAUGAUUUGUAGAUUCUACUGCACUGCCACACCCGAUGCAUGUCACAUUGUUUAACAGCCUUCUGUAGUUCAAGUUGACUCGAGUCGGGAUAUAAUUCCAUGAUAUUUUCCAGAUUGAAAUUUUUACCUUAAGAGGUAGAUUAAGGAGCCAUAGGUUUCUGUAGAAAUUUCUAGAAUCAUUUUGUAAAGCAUAAGCACAAGGGUCAUUUUCGAAGCCAGACCAGGAAGUCAUCGUGAGGUUCUUUUGCAAGUGGGAUACAGAAGAUUUUCUCAGAUAUCUCCGCAGGAAAGGAUUUAGUGAGUUACAACCUGAAAGUCCGUGCCCCAGCUUCCCACAUCUGAAGCAAAAAGUCGGUAAUUUUUCAUAUUUAAAGGAAAUCCACCAUUUAUUCUUAUUAUUCACUGAGACAAAAAUACCUCUUCGAAGGGGUUUCUGCACAUCGAGAUUUAUUUUUAGACGACACCAUUCUCCGUUGAUUUCAGAUCUGAUUAUCCCACCAAAAGUGACACCUAUGGCAUGUAGCAAGUCUUUUUUAUCAAAUUAUGGUAGACAUGGUCCUACCUUCAGCCAGACCGGUGAGGAGUUGAGCCGAAUCUGAGACCUUUCCACCGAUUGGGUAAUCCUGUCGAAAAGGAUUAGACUCUUUCGAAAUAACCAUGGCCUACCUUCCAUAAUCAAUUCUAAAUCCUCUUCCAUCUCAAACGCUAUCAAAAAUAGAUCAGGGUUGGUUUUUUAUUCGGAACUACCUUCGAACCUUUGAUAGAUAAUUGGAUAAGCUCUUCAGUUAAGAGUGAAAUCUCGUCCCUCUGCUCACUAUCAUCUCCACCGCUUUCCCCCAUCCCAAGUUGCAAAAGUGACUGCCUUCACUAGGACUCUCGGCGAAGCACUCUUGGAAAAGAAGUAACUAGGGUUUUUUUGUAAAAAAAAAAAUAUUACAAAUAUUUAACAAUGUAGAAUACUUUAAAUUGCUCUUAUUCAAAAAGACAAAUAGGGUUAAUUUAUCUAAAUAAUAUUAAAAAAUUAAAUAUUAAAA